rnacentral:rRNA from 1 species
UACAGAGGGGGCAAGCGUUAUUCGGAAUUAUUGGGCGUAAAGGGCGCGUAGGCGGCUUUGCAAGUGACGGGUGAAAUCCCUCGGCUUAACCGAGGAACUGCCUGUCAAACUGCAUGGCUUGAGACCGGGAGAGGUGAGUGGAAUUCCCAGUGUAGCGGUGAAAUUCGUAGAUAUUCGCAAGAACACCAGUGGCGAAGGCGGCUCACUGGCCCGGUACUGACGCUGAGGUGCGAAAGCGUGGGGAGCAAACAGG